CUGGCGGCGUGCCUAACACAUGCAAGUCGCACGAGNAAAGGGGCUUUCGGGCUCCCGGUAAAGUGGCGAACGGGUGAGUAACGCGUAGGCAACCUGUUCUCGAGUGUGGAAUAACCUGGCGAAAGCCGGGCUAAUACCGCAUGACGUCCGUGGGUCCUUGGACCCGCGGACCAAAGAUGGCGAGCUUCGAGCGCUGUCGCUCAGGAAGGGGCCUGCGUCCCAUUAGCUAGUUGGUGGGGUAACGGCCUACCAAGGCGACGAUGGGUAGCCGGGCUGAGAGGCUGUCCGGCCACACUGGAACUGAGACACGGUCCAGACUCCUACGGGAGGCAGCAGUGGGGAAUAUUGCGCAAUGGGGGAAACCCUGACGCAGCGACGCCGCGUGGGCGAUGAAGGCCUUCGGGUCGUAAAGCCCUGUCGAGUGGGACGAAACGCACGGGCUCUAACAUAGCUCGUGCCUGACGGUACCACUGGAGGAAGCCCCGGCUAACUCCGUGCCAGCAGCCGCGGUAAUACGGAGGGGGCGAGCGUUAUUCGGAAUUAU
rnacentral:rRNA from 1 species